rnacentral:rRNA from 1 species
UACGUAGGGUGCGAUCGUUGUCCGGAAUUAUUGGGCGUAAAGCGCGCGUAGGCGGCUUUGCAAGUCGGAUGUGAAAUCCCCAGGCUCAACCUGGGAACUGCAUUCGAGACUGCUUUGCUAGAGUAUGGGAGAGGGAAGUGGAAUUUCCGGUGUAGCGGCGAAAUGCGUAGAUAUCGGAAGGAACAUCAGUGGCGAAAGCGACUUCCUGGACCAAUACUGACGCUCAUGUGCGAAAGCGUGGGGAGCAAACAGG